GCGUUUAUGGCGGAACUGGCAGACGCGCUAGCCUUAGGAGCUAGUAUCUUGAAAGGAUGUGUGGGUUCGAUUCCCUCUAAACGCACCA
rnacentral:tRNA from 2 species